ACCCCAACAGCUAGCCCACCAUCAAAAACCACCAACCACUAUUAUUACCCCCAAAAGAAUGACAUAUGAAUAAACAAACCAUUUUUCCACCCCAGUAUGGGAGACAGAAAAGGGCUCUCGGCGCAAUAGAAAAAGUACCGUAAGGGAAAGCUGAAAGAGAACUGAAAAAACUCAGUAAAGGAAAGAAAAGCAGAGAUUUAACCUCGUACCUUUUGCAUCAUGACUUAGUCAGUAAAUGUCAAGCAAAGAGCCCUUUAUGUUUGACACCCCGAAACUAAGCGAGCUACUCCAAGACAGCCUAUUAUAGGGCAAACCCGUCUCUGUGGCAAAAGAGUGGGAAGAGCUUUGAGUAGAGGUGACAGACCUACCGAGCCUAGUUAUAGCUGGUUGCCUGAGAAUUGAAUAGAAGUUCAGCCUUUUGACUUUUUUGACCCACAAGGUAUUACCUGCCUCCGGCUAAAAGAAGAUCAAAAGAGUUAUUCAAGGGAGGAACAGCUCCCUUGAAAAAAGACACAACUUUAAUAGAAGGAUAAAGAUCACAUUCUCCAAGGUAAUAUACCCAAGUGGGCCUAAAAGCAGCCACCUUAACAAAAAGCGUUAGAGCUCAAGUAUUACUCCCCCAACAAUUAAGACAAACAAUAUCUUAUACCCCUUAACCUAUCAGACCCUUCCAUGUAAGCAUGGAAAAGACACUGCUAACAUGAGUAAUAAGAGAGCCCAGCCUCUCUCAAACGCAUCUGUGUAAAUCAGAACGAACUCUCACUGAAAAUUAACGUCCCCACAAACAGAGGGAAUUGAAUAAAAUAAAAUUAAAACUAGAAAACCUCCCAAAAUUAAACGUUAAUCCUACACAGGAAUGCUACAUGAAAGACAAAAAGAAAAAGAAGGAACUCGGCAAACACUGGUCCCGCCUGUUUACCAAAAACACCGCCUCUUGACUAUUUCAUUAUAAGAGGUCCCGCCUGCCCUGUGACUAAUUGUUUAACGGCCGCGGUAUUUUGACCGUGCGAAGGUAGCGUAAUCACUUGUUUUUUAAAUAAAGACCUGUAUGAAUGGCAUAACGAGGGCCAAACUGUCUCCUUUUUCUAGUCAAUGAAAUUGAUCUGCCCGUGCAGAAGCGGGCAUGCAACCAUAAGACGAGAAGACCCUAUGGAGCUUUAGACACCAGAACAGACCAUGUUAAAACCCCUGAAUAACCAAGAAAAAACAGAAUGGUUCCUGUCCCUAUGUCUUUGGUUGGGGCGACCGCGGAGUAACAACAAACCCCCACGUGGAAUGGUAAAUUUUUAUCCAAAACCAGAGCCACAGCUCUAAUAAACAGAAAAUCUGGCCCUCAAGACCCGGCAAAGCCGAUCAACGGACCCAGUUACCCUAGGGAUAACAGCGCAAUCCCCUUUCAGAGCCCAUAUCGACAAGGGGGUUUACGACCUCGAUGUUGGAUCAGGACUUCCUAAUGGUGCAGCCGCUAUUAAGGGUUCGUUUGUUCAACGAUUAAAGUCCUACGUGAUCUGAGUUCAGACCGGAGAAAUCCAGGUCAGUUUCUAUCUAUGAGACCCCUUUUCUAGUACGAAAGGACCGAGAAGGGAGGGCCUAUGCUUUAAGCAAGCCCUGCCCUAACCUAAUGAUACCCACUAAAUUAAAGGUAAAAGGGAGUCCCUCCCAUGCCUGAGAAAAAGGCAA
rnacentral:rRNA from 1 species